GCGCAGCCGGUCACGCGCAGCAGCUUUUCAAAUUAAAAGCGCGCGUGCUCAGCUCUGCGGUAAACCGUCAAAUUCACCUCAGACCUUUUUUAGACCUACAGACACUUCGCUUCGGGUUUUCCUCAGGUAUUCAGGGCCUGUGUCUUGAGCUCGAUUGGCUCCCCCCGGGUGUCCUGUUGCCCCUCGACCUCUGGAGGCCGAUUGCCUUUGAGCACAGCCAGCCUCUCAGACAGGCCACGCAUGCGUGGAAAAAGCAUGAAGUCAUACAGGAGGGCACCAAUCGCGCCGCCAAUGAAGGGGCCGACCCAGUACACCUGUCAGAGAGAGGGAAAAGCACAGAGAAUGGAAAAAUUUAAGGAGCGAUUAUCAAGUAAGAAGAUAAAAUGGAUAUCUAUGGAGCAUCUUUUGACUGCAAGUAAAAGACGCUGAGAGAAAAAGAAGUAGG